rnacentral:rRNA from 1 species
UCCGAAUGGGGAAACCCGGCAGGAUUCAUAUCCUGUCAUCAUACACUGAAUACAUAGGUGUAUGAGGCGAACGCAGGGAACUGAAACAUCUAAGUACCUGUAGGAGUAGAAAUCAACAGAGAUUCCGCUAGUAGCGGCGAGCGAACGCGGAUCAGCCCAAACCGGCAUCACUACGGUGAAGCCGGGGUUGUGGGGCCCCAACGUGGGAUUGAAGAAGAAUAGCUGAAGGUUCUGGAAUGUACCGCCAUAGUGGGUGAUAGCCCCGUAAGCGAAAUUCUGAUUCACCCUAGGGUGUCCCCGAGUACCACGGAACACGUGAAAUUCUGUGGGAAUCCGGGAGGACCAUCUUCCAAGGCUAAAUACUACC